CAGCAGCCGCGGUAAUACGGAGGGUGCAAGCGUUAAUCGGAAUUACUGGGCGUAAAGCGCACGCAGGCGGUCUGACAAGUCAGAUGUGAAAUCCCCGGGCUUAACCUGGGAACUGCAUUUGAAACUGUCAGGCUGGAGUCUUGUAGAGGGGGGUGGAAUUCCAGGUGUAGCGGUGAAAUGCGUAGAGAUCUGGAGGAAUACCGGUGGCGAAGGCGGCCCCCUGGACAAAGACUGACGCUCAGGUGCGAAAGCGUGGGGAGCAAACAGGAUUAGAUACCCGGGUAGUCCCUGUCUCUUAUAA
rnacentral:rRNA from 1 species